CUCGUAGGCGGUCUGUCGCGUCGGUCGUGAAAACUUGGGGCUUAACCCUGAGCUUGCGGUCGAUACGGGCAUGACUGGAGUUCGGCAGGGGAGACUGGAAUUCCUGGUGUAGCGGUGAAAUGCGCAGAUAUCAGGAGGAACACCGGUGGCGAAGGCGGGUCUCUGGGCCGAUACUGACGCUGAGGAGCGAAAGCGUGGGGAGCAAACA
rnacentral:rRNA from 1 species